UCACCUCAAAUGAAUUCCCAGGGAUGCUUCAAAUCUCCAUGAGAGCAUCUUGGAAAGGCCCGAAGAAUUAGAAACAUCAGAUACCAUAAAAGAUCGAACAGGAUAAAGUCAGUGAGGUAAGUGAAAAUAAAGUGGUUUGAAAAUCUAUAUGAAGAGAAGUUAUUACUCCAGGUUGUCAACCAAACUCCCAUCUUUCAGGUACCCAAUCUCCACCCACAUCCCUGCAGAAGACAAGAAAUGUUUCUGGAGAAACAGAACCAGAAAGUGUCUGGGCUGUUGAAAGGUGGGGGUAACAACACAAAAUUGAGUUAUGCCAAGCAUAAACAGCUGAAUUGCCUUGCUCAUUGUAUAGCACAUGCUGAUCAGCCCUAUGCAAGCCUAACCAAUUCCCAUUUCUCUAAUUCUAUCCCAAAGUACCAGCCAAUAAUUGUUUUCACUAUGUCUUGCAAUUUUCCAUCAGUAUUGGGUUUGUAAGGAAAGAAAAAUUGAUAUAAAUAAUUGUUCUUAGUAGCAAGCUCAUUCACGGAAUCUGUGUACCAAAGGGUCGUGUUAUAUGUAGUUUUAGCCAUAAAGUUAACAAAAACUAAGAGCAACACAUUGAUUACUAGGGAAAACACUAAAAAUGUUUUUCAAGUUUUCCUUCAAACAAUAUGGAGGACUCCUGGCUGAAGUAGAGGCAGAAUCAUAAUUGGAGAAGGAACAGAGUCACUGAGUAUUCAAAACAGGUACAUUUUAACAUUUAUUAUUAGGAUAAAACGAUGCUAGUGUUUGCAAUGUGAAAUAAGCAAUGUAAACAUCAGUGAUCAGAAAAUGAGACACUUGGAGAAAUUCAUCAAAAAGUGCCAAUUUUUUAUAUGCUUGGCCCUCUACCACCUAAGGGCAUGGGGUCCCUUCAAAGCCUUGCUUUGCCCAAGUCUAGAACGUGGAGAUGGCUCCCUCUCAAUGCACUGUAGCCCAUGAAAGGACCGCAAUGCCUGGCUAAAAUAAUAUUCCUUCAGUGCUCACUCUUUUUUUUUUUUUUUUCUUUAAACAACUCUAUAAAAUCUGGAAUUUUUAAAUGUUGAGACUUUUAAUUGGGCUUUUGACUUUGUGAUCUGAUGACGUCGCUUCAUGACUGAUGAACACACUGCUGGCAAACCUCAUUCAUUGGGUGGAAGCAGAAUUAGUGACAAAUCUACCAGGUUUAAUACCUGGAUAGCAAAAUAAUCUAUACCACAAACUCCCAUGACACAAGUUUACCUAUGUAACAAGCCUGCACAUGUACCACUCAACUUAAAAGUUAAAAAGCCCCUCCUUGUUUUACUUUCAAGGAAACUAGAUAAUAUGAAAAUGUGGUUUAAGAGAAUGCUUUUGGGAAAUAGGUUCAAUGAAUAUAUAAAAACAAUUGUAAUUAACCUAUCAUCCUGUGUAUUUAUAUGCAAAUGAUGCUUUUUAAAUUACUUGAGAUUGCCUGAAAGUAAUUUCUUCUUUGAAUUAGUUACAAACUUUAAGCAUACUGUUCACAAUGGUUUUACUCUAUUAAUUUGCCUAACAAACCAUUUCUUUAUCAUUAGUACAAAGGUAAACAUCAACAUAAUCAAGCAAAUUUCCAAAUUAUUGUAAUCUAUAUGAGCGAAUUUCAUCUCAUUGGGCAGAAGCAGAUGUAAACCUAAAUAUCAGAAACAGUCAUUGGCUAUCACAUGAGUGUUUCUAAUGUAUGUCUGAUCUUCCAAGAACUAGCAUAAGUUCCAGUACUAGCUACAGGAUAAUAUUGCUUUUAAGACUGCCUAUGACACAAAGUCAAAGCACAGAGUCCACUUUUGAGGACUUUGUAUCUCAUAGUUCCACCCAGCAUAUGUGAUCAGAGGAGAAUCAUGUGACAGUUUAGCUCAGAAAAAUAAGACACAAAGAAAGCAGAUUUCUGAGUCUGGUAGUGAUGUUAAGGGCACUAUUGAGUGAGUGGGAGCUGCCAAGCAGAAUCAGCUCCUAUGACAGAUGCUCUCAGUUUAAAGAAGUAAAUGCAAAACCAUAAGAAAAAUAACUUUUCAGCACAAAAGCUUAGAGGCCCUUGAGGAUAGAUGAUGCCAGAAAAAUGUGAGAUUAUUAUGUCCGCCAGGGUAUAUUAAUACUAUAAAUAUAGAUGAUUUACUGAGAAAAAAGAUCCUUGAAAAUGUACCAAAUGCAUGAUGCUGAAUAUAAAGUUAAACAGCAAAAACAAAGUGCCAACAAAACAUAGAUUCCUUGCCCUUCUUUCUUUUCCAGUGUGCAGAAACAUGACUGAUGUCUCAAUAGGGAUCCAGUGGAUUCAACUGGGCACCAAACUGCAUUCAUUCAUUUCCUUUCUCAUGCUUCCUUCUCUUUUUAGAUUCAUCAUCUUCAUUAUACUUAUAGACAGCCAUCUACUAACUGAAGAGCUUAAUGCUCAAGUUCAUUAUUUUGUUCAACAAAUGUUUAUCAAACAACUUUGAAGUGUCUGACACUCUUCUAGGUACUUAGGAUAUAUCAGUGAACAAAAUUUGCUACGGAAAACAAGUACAUGAUGCUCAAUUAAGAUGUGGAUUUGACUUCUUAAAUAUUGUCAACAACAGUAAAAGAAACAAAAGAGGGGGAAUAGAACAUAAGUGGAAUUACUAGGCAUCACAUCUAUACAUACG